AUCCAGUCAAAUCUCAGCUGGCAACUGUGAGUUUGGAGCACCUCACAGCGCUAGCUGAGGUUCGCCUGAAU
rfam:Oryzias latipes DNA, chromosome1, strain: Hd-rR.